rnacentral:rRNA from 1 species
CGAACGGGUGAGUAAUGCGUGACCAACCUGCCCCAUGCUCCAGAAUAGCUCUUGGAAACGGGUGGUAAUGCUGGAUGCUCCAACUUGACGCAUGUCUUGUUGGAAAGUGUUUAGUGGCAUGGGAUGGGGUCGCGUCCUAUCAGCUUGUAGGCGGGGUAAUGGCCCACCUAGGCUUCGACGGGUAGCCGGCCUGAGAGGGCGGACGGCCACAUUGGGACUGAGAUACGGCCCAGACUCCUACGGGAGGCAGCAGC